rnacentral:rRNA from 1 species
GACGAACGCUGGCGGCGUGCUUAACACAUGCAAGUCGAACGGUAAGGCCCCAGCUUGCUGGGGUACACGAGUGGCGAACGGGUGAGUAACACGUGGGUGACCUGCCCCGCACUUCGGGAUAAGCCUGGGAAAUUGGGUCUAAUACCGGAUAGGACCGCACCGUGAGGGUGGGGUGGAAAGUUUUUCGGUGUGGGAUGGGCCCGCGGCCUAUCAGCUUGUUGGUGGGGUAAGGGCCUACCAAGGCGGCGAAGGGUAGCCGGCCUGAGAGGGUGGACGGCCACAUUGGGACUGAGACACGGCCCAGACUCCUACGGGAGGCAGCAGUGGGGAAUAUUGCACAAUGGGCGGAAGCCUGAUGCAGCGACGCCGCGUGGGGGAUGACGGCCUUCGGGUUGUAAACUCCUUUCACCAUCGACGAAGGUUUUCUGACGGUAGAUGGAGAAGAAGCACCGGCUAACUACGUG